rnacentral:rRNA from 1 species
UACGGGGGGGGGCAAGCGUUGUUCGGAAUUACUGGGCGUAAAGGGCUCGUAGGUGGCCAACUAAGUCAGACGUGAAAUCCCCAGGCUUAACCUGGGAACUGCGUCUGAUACUGGAUGGCUUGAAUUCGGGAGAGGGAUGCAGAAUUCCUGGUGUAGCGGUGAAAUGCGCAGAUAUCAGGAGGAACACCGGUGGCGAAGGCGGUUCUCUGGGCCUUACCUGACGCUGAGGAGCGAAAGCGUGGGGAGCGAACAGG